AUUGAACGCUGGCGGCAUGCCUAACACAUGCAAGUCGAACGGCAGCAUGACAAGAGCUUGCUCUUGUUGAUGGCGAGUGGCGGACGGGUGAGUAAUAUGUAGGAAUCUACCUAGAGGAGCGGGAUAACUUAGGGAAACUUAAGCUAAUACCACAUAAUCCCUACGGGGGAAAGCAGGGGAUCUUCGGACCUUGCGCCUUAUGAUGAGCCUACAUCGGAUUAGCUUGUUGGUGGGGUAAAGGCCUACCAAGGCGACGAUCCGUAGCUGGUCUGAGAGGAUGAUCAGCCACACUGGGACUGAGACACGGCCCAGACUCCUACGGGAGGCAGCAGUGGGGAAUAUUGGACAAUGGGCGAAAGCCUGAUCCAGCAAUGCCGCGUGUGUGAAGAAGGCCUUAGGGUUGUAAAGCACUUUCAGUGGGGAGGAAGUUGAGUUUGCUAAUAUCAGAUUCAAUUGACGUUACCCACAGAAGGAGCACCGGCUAACUCUGUGCCAGCAGCCGCCGUAA
rnacentral:rRNA from 1 species